ACUGCGGCGCAAGCGGGGACUCGGCUCAGGGCGCGCCCCGCCCCCCCCCCGUGCACCUGCUGCCCCGGUGGGCCCAACUGUCCUGCGCCCCGGCCCUUCCUCACCGUGACGUAUGCCCGGAAGAGGUCGUUGUCGCGCAGCAGGCCGCGCAUGUACUCCAUGCAGCCCUCCUCCUCCAUGCAGUAUCGGAUGUAGGGCUUGAAGAGGGAGCCGAACUGGCCCGGGACGGAACAGGCACGGUUACUGCGCGCUCUCCGCGGCCAGGCCCCGCGCCGGGAGCCUCACGAGCCCUCCCUCACCGCACUUUCGCGACCACCCCAGGCUGAACUUCCGCCAGACAGAAAGGGCAGAUGGCCAGGGUGCCCUGUGCUGAUGAAUUCACUCUGCAGACCUUUCCCAAACUCCACCGUGGUUCCAUUCUGAGGGGUGCAGAGAAAAGCAGAUCCCUGCCCUCGAGGAACAGAUCGUGGAGGGGAGACUUCCUCAUUCAAGCCAGCAGUCUGGGAGAAAGCCCCUCCACGGGGAUCUUUCUGGAGGUCCUUGGAUGGUUUCAGGCUGAGCAUUUGGGGCAACGACACGAGAGAGUGGACUGUGCCCUCCUCAGUGCGCCCGUCAGUGCGGCUGGAUCCCUUGGGGGCCUCGCGGGACCGCGUAAAGGCCCUUUUUCUCUUUGUAAUGAAUAAGCAGCCCGUGGGGAGAUAACUUCGAGACAUCCUGUUCCCGGCAAUCUCACACUCCAGGGUUUUCACAUCCACUGGUGACGUCUGCCUAAAUCAAACAUGACUACAACGGUUGCAACUGAAGAUUUUCUAAUUCUUCCCUUCUCUCUGACCCUCUCCCAUCUCGGGCCCCCACCAUGUUUUCUUUUUUUUA